GUGUCUUUUUAAGGUUGAUGCGGUGCUCUAAAAGGCUAACACGGAAGGAAAACACGUCUCCAUAAAACCCGGAGAAGAGAUUAUAAAUCUCUUUGGAUUCCAUCUGGAGACACAACU